rnacentral:lncRNA from 1 species
UAGAUCCAUUGGCAAUUCUCAUGAUAAAUAUUAGUGGUUAGAGCUGAAGACACGGACAUGAAAAUGUUUUUUUCAUUUAGAUCAAAUGCGUCUAACAGCAAAAAUAUUAAUCAAGUCUCACCACCAUCAACAAAUAAGGAAGUCUACUAGGAGAAACCAGCAGAAAGUAUUGACGAUUCCAGAAAAGAAAAAAUAUGGCUCAGAAAAUCAGGUUACUGUUCCUCGUCUUGUAAGAAACCUUUAAUGCUCAUCUGGAUCACUAAAAUAAGAAAAUUUUGCGAUCAAGGUUGCUCUCCUUGCAGUAUCAAUAAUUCAUACGGGUAAUCUCGUCAACAUUCCACUCAGUAAGCAAUACAUCAUUCAAAAAACUAUACAAUAUAUGCUUUGGAAAAAAAUCAUCCAUACAGAAAAUGCUUUUUUGCACCUCGAGGAUAAAUUUGGAUGGUUAGAUGCAAGCAUUAUAGGGAAUGCAGUAGAAACAUUACUGCAAAUUUUUGCCAGUGACAUAAUGAACCAUUUGAGAAAGGUAAAACCCAGGUUAUAACAUCCUUCAACAUUAAUUUCUUCAAUGUACCAUCAUUUACUAUUCAAACACAUUUGUUCUUGUUACGUGUCAAUACACUUGGCUGACCCACUGGGGCUCAUGGCCCACACAUGCCGAAUCACGUGGCAUCUCAGUCGAAGCCUCUAAGCCAAUGAAGAUUGACCAACACCAACAAACAGCUCCUAUGACGUGGCCCAGAUUUUGUAUGCCAAAGUGCAGUAAGAGGUGAUGUACAUAACCGAGGCUCUUCAUAUCGAGGCCCAUUAUACCAAAGCCGAAGCCCAAGACAACUGGCACCACUUCUCUCCAG